AUUGAACGCUGGCGGCAUGCUUUACACAUGCAAGUCGAACGGUAACAGGCCGCAAGGUGCUGACGAGUGGCGAACGGGUGAGUAAUGCAUCGGAACGUGCCCAGUCGUGGGGGAUAACUACUCGAAAGAGUAGCUAAUACCGCAUACGAUCUAUGGAUGAAAGCGGGGGACCGUAAGGCCUCGCGCGAUUGGAGCGGCCGAUGUCAGAUUAGGUAGUUGGUGGGGUAAAGGCUCACCAAGCCAACGAUCUGUAGCUGGUCUGAGAGGACGACCAGCCACAUUGGGCCUGAGCCCCGGCCCAACCCCCCCCGGGGGGCCGAGGGGGGGAAUUUUGGACAAUGGGCGAAAGCCUGACCCAGCAAUGCCCCGGGCAGGAAGAAGGCCUUCGGGUUGUAAACUGCUUUUUUACGGAACGAAACGGCUUUGGUUAAUACCCGGGGUUAAUGCCGGUACCGUAAGAAUAAGCCCCGGCUAACUACGU
rnacentral:rRNA from 1 species